UACAUGGGGUGCAAACGUUGCUCGGAAUUAUUGGGCGUAAAGCGCACGUAGGCGGUUUGUUAAGUCGGAUGUGAAAUCCCUCGGCUCAACUGAGGAAGUGCAUCCGAAACUGGCAGGCUUGAGUACUAAAGAGGGUCGCGGAAUUCCCGGUGUAGAGGUGAAAUUCGUAGAUAUUCGGAAGAACACCAGUGGCGAAGGCGACUUACUGGACACAUAUUGACGCUGAGGUGCGAAAGCGUGGGGAGCAACAGG
rnacentral:rRNA from 1 species